GGCCGACUAGCUCAGCUGGUUAGAGCGUCGUGUUAAUAACGCGAAGGUCUUGGGUUCGAUCCCCACGUUGGCCA
rnacentral:tRNA from 1 species